GGUGAUGACCAGAACGAGAGCUCUUUUUCUUUAUAAGCAUAAACAAAUAUAUAUUUAAAAUAUCCAAACACACACACAAAAUAGGAAUUAACCCAAAACACACACAAAACCGGCCUAAGAGGGAAUGGAGUGAUGGCUCACUUACUACAAGUUUUUUACUCACUUAGAAUGAGGUAUAAGGUCAGCUUUAAGCUCCAUCCUUCAUUAGGGUUUCUUUGAGGAAAGAUGAGCGAACAUAAGCUCUCUCUUUCUCUCUAGAGAGGCCAGCCAACAUCAAAUCUUUAGCUAGCAAUCUUUGCUUCCAUGGUCACUUAUCUUCGUCCUUCACCAUUCUUGGUGUCAGAAUUUAAAGGUCUCCAACUUUUGGGGACUUUUGGAGAAUCAUUCAAGCAUCCAAAUUCAAGAAUCCAAAGAGGCUACAAGAUGAAGAUGACGACCAUGGAGUCCUAACUCAAGGAGAAGAAUGAAGGUCUUCUCAUUAGUCUUUGCUCAUGCAAAGAGAAACUCCAAAGUAUCAAAUUUUUAACUCUUUUGUUAUUAGAUUAUAUGGAUCCCCAAGCCUUCCGGCAGAAAUUCAGCAAUAAUAGACCUGGGUUUUGGUCACAUUCGCCAUUGAAGAUGAACUAACUUCGACAACCCGCUGCAGCGCAACCCACGAGGUCACCCACCUUCAGCCCUCGCGGUUUGAAGUUUGGAUCGCCACGACGCCAGCCUUAUUCCACAAUAGCAGCAGCACUCCACAGACCCGUCGCUGCAACCCAUGAAGCUUCAACCCGCGGUUCGUACCACCAGACCCCAGCCGCAACCACAUUCGAAUCCCUCGACAGCCGUCCCCCGAGCACAGCUUUCCCCGCGACGCAACUGCAGCUCAACCCACGACCAGUUUCAGUCACGAGCUUCGAGUUCAACCUUUGGAGGUCUCGCGUUUCCCAGAUCUUCAGUCAUGAACAGACGAUGGUCUUUGUGCAGCCCGAAAAGGAGAGAUCGACGAGGAUAAGGAAGGAAAUGGAUGAAGGGAUAAGGAAGGAAAGAGAGAGUUGUGUGGCUGUGCGACCGUUUGGAGGAGAGAGACGGAAACAACAAUAGAAAGGGCGCUGGCUACUGCAACAAGAAGGCUGGGUCCAAACUUGGGCCUAGUGGGCGUCCAGCACAAAAGGGAUAAGGUUAGCCUGCUGCAAUGGUUAAGCGGCGUGGGCCUCCUUCCCUCUUUUGCCUUGAGCUAUUAAAAAUAAAAAUCAGGGAGGCAACAAAGAAAUUGAAUAAAACAAAGAUAUGUGGCCUUAUAAAAGAAGGCUCAAAUGUACACCAGAAGAAGGAAGGGAGAGAAUUUUUGAAAUUUGUGCUCCUUCGGUGACUCGGGAAAUUAAGACACCUUCUUCAGCAACUCUCCUUAUUCGAAGAUUUCAACAGACUCCACUAUAUGCUACUACACUUCGAUAGUUAUAAGUUUCGUAAUUACUCAGUGACUUGGGUUUUGUAAGUCCCAACUAGUAAACUUUCCUCACUCGAGAACUUGGGGAGAUAACUAUUUGUAUUGUACUUGACCAAUCAUGAAACUAUCGGUCAACUUCAUAUCUUCAAGGACCCACUGAAGGGUUCGUGAUGAGGCACUCCUGCCGAAGCACAAGAGUUCUCUCCAAUUAGAAGGCCAAUUUA